rnacentral:tRNA from 1 species
GCGGAGGUUGCCAAGCCAGGUCAAAGAUGUGAGAUGGGAGAACACUCCCAACGCUCAUGUCAACUGCAGGCGCUAGGUUGAGGGCCUAGUCCCGCAGGGGUUCGCGAGUUCAAAUCUCGCCCUCCGCACCA